UGCCAGCAGCCGCGGUAACACGGGGGGCGCAAGCGUUAUUCGGAAUUAUUGGGCGUAAAGGGCGCGCAGGCGGUCUUGUCCGUCAGAGGUGAAAGCCCCGAGCUCAACUUGGGAACUGCCUUUGAUACUGUUUAUCUAGAGUCCGAGAGAGGUUAGUGGAAUUCCCAGUGUAGAGGUGAAAUUCGUAGAUAUUGGGAAGAACACCAGUGGCGAAGGCGGCUAACUGGCUCGGUACUGACGCUGAGAUGCGAAAGCGUGGGGAGCAAACAGGAUUAGAUA
rnacentral:rRNA from 1 species